GACGAACGCUGGCGGCGUGCUUAACACAUGCAAGUCGAACGGGCCCGCCCCUGUUUUUGGGGGUGGGUUGCGUGGCGAACGGGUGAGUAUCCCGUGAGUAACCUGCCCCCUGCUCCUGGAUAACUGCUUGAAAGGGCGGCUAAUACGGGGUGUGCCGGCUGGUCCGCAUGGGCCUGGUCGGGAUAGUUUCAUCUUCGGGUGUUUCGGUGGGGGAUGGGCUCGCGGCCUAUCAGCUUGUUGGUGGGGUGAUGGCCCACCAAGGCGGUGACGGGUAGCCGGCCUGAGAGGGUGGGCGGCCACACUGAGAGGGAGACACGGCCCAGACGCCUGCGGGAGGCAGCAGGGGGGGGUAGUGCAGAAUGGGCGGGAGCCUGAUGCAGCGACGUCGCGUGAGGGAUGGAGGCCUUCGGGUUGUGAACCUCUUUCUCCGGGGGUGAAGGCCCUGUCCGUUGCGGCGGGGUUGACGGUAGCCGGGGAUGAAGCGCCGGCUAACUACGUG
rnacentral:rRNA from 1 species